GAUGAACGCUGACAGAAUGCUUAACACAUGCAAGUCUACUUGAACUUCGGUUUGGGUGGCGGACGGGUGAGUAACGCGUAAAGAACUUGCCUCACAGUUAGGGACAACAUUUGAAAACGAAUGCUAAUACCUGAUAUUAUGAUUUUAGGGCAUCCUAAGAUUAUGAAAGCUAUAUGCGCUGUGAGAGAGCUUUGCGUCCCAUUAGCUAGUUGGAGAGGUAACGGCUCACCAAGGCGAUGAUGGGUAGCCGGCCUGAGAGGGUGAACGGCCACAAGGGGACUGAGACACGGCCCUUACUCCUACGGGAGGCAGCAGUGGGGAAUAUUGGACAAUGGACCAAAAGUCUGAUCCAGCAAUUCUGUGUGCACGAUGACGUUUUUCGGAAUGUAAAGUGCUUUCAGUUGGGAAGAAAAAAAUGACAGUACCAACAGAAGAAGUGACGGCUAAAUACGUGC
rnacentral:rRNA from 1 species